UUAAUUUGGAAGACAAAUUGAAUUUUUUUUUAUGUAUAUUUAAUCAAAAAAUAUUUGAUAAGUGAGGUGGUUGAGCAAUUAAUACACUUUAGUUUACUAAUUUGUAUUUUUUUUUUUAUUGAAUAGGAAACUACCUAAAGUUCUAUGAAGCUAUAAAACAUGAUUAUCCUGAUAUUCAAAUUAUCUCAAAUUGUGACGGUUCUAUACAUCAAUUAGAUCACCCAGCAGAUCUCUAUGAUUUUCAUGUAAUAGUCUUUCUUUUUUUUUGUUCUUCCAAUUUUUAAAGUUAUUAAUUUUGUAUUUCAGUUUAAGCCACUUACAUUUUAUAUAUCCUUGUUAAUAAUACUUUUUAUUUUUAUUAAUAGAUUUAUACAGAUUCUAAGGACAUGUUUUCCGAUUAUACCAAGUUCGAUAACGCACCAAGAUCCGGUCCAAAGGUUUGAUUAAUAAUUCUUUAUAGAAAUAAAAAUUUCUUGAUAGGUGAAUUUUCUCAAGUUUUAUUAAUUUCUACAAUAAAUAUACAGGCAUUUGUUAGUGAGUAUGCUGUUUGGAAGGAAGAUGCUGGUGCUGGAAGCCUUUAUGCAGCUGUUGCUGAAGCUGCAUUUCUCAUUGGGCUUGAAAAGAAUAGGUUUGAUUAUAUAUAACUAUAGUUAUAUAGCUAUAUAGCCAUAGCUUUUCAUGAAAUUUGAUUUAUAAGGUUUAAUAUUAUGAACUAGUAUGUGUUAUUUUGAGCUAAGUUUUAAUCAUAUUUCAAUUUUAUACUUUUUCUGCAGUGAUAUUGUUAGCAUGGUUGCAUAUGCACCACUCUUUUUAAACACAAACGACAGAAAGUAAUUUUCCUAUGUUUUACCAUUUAUUUUUAUUUAUCAUUUAUAUAUGUAAUUUUUUUUUAUUUUAUGUAAAAGAUAGAGAUGAUUAUUUAAUCUAUUUUUCAUCAAAAUAGGUGGAUACCAGAUGCAAUUGUUUUUAACUCUUAUCAGAAUUAUGGAACUCCAAGUUAUUGGCUACAACAACUCUUUAUUGAAUCUAGUGGAGCAACAUUGCUUAAUUCAACUCUUCAAAAUUCUUCUAGCUCAAUUGUUGCAUCCGCAAUUGAGUAUAAAAAUUCUCAAGAUGGGAAGAAUUAUCUAAGAGUAAAGGUAAUGGUAACUUGAAUUUUUAUCAAAAGUGAAUGUUGAUUUAAAUCUUGAAAAAUGUUUAAUCUUUUUUUACGGUAAAUGCUAAGAAUGAAGAUUAUAACUCAAUUAAUUAACUUUGAAAUUAUUGACUUUUACAGGUAGUCAACUUUGGAAAUGCCACUGAGAACUUCAUGAUUUCAAUAAAUGGUUUAAAUUCAAUUGUUCAAUCGUCUAAUUCAUCAAUGGUGGUGCUUACGUCCUCCAAUAGAAUGGAUGAGAAUUCCUUCUCGGAGCCAAAUAAGGUUACAAAUUUUUUUCAUCACAAAAUAUUAUUAAAGUUUCACCCUUCGAACAUGAUGAUUUUCCUCCUUUUUGAAAUAUGUAGUUUGUCACAUGUGCCCAUUGAAAUAUGUUAGUAUUUGUGACGAGGACUAAAAAUUAUUUUCUAAAGAUAGAGACGAAAAACUUAUUUAACCACGUAGUCUUUGAUUGUGUUAAAACUAAAUAUAUGAUUAUUUUAUGUAUAUACAGAUUGUGCCCCAAAGAACUGCACUUGGAAAUGCAAGCAAUGACAUGGAUGUUAGACUUCCUCCUUAUUCAGUUACAUCAUUUGAUCUAUCAAUCUAAAAUACGAUGGUUGGAUGUUGUUUUGUAUUUUGAAAGAAGGGCGUAAUGUUGCUUAGAGUCGAAAUUGGGAGAAAUGUAUACAUUUCUCGGUUCAAAAAAUGUAUAUAUUUUUAUUUCAUAAAUAAAUUAUUUCACCUUUUUGUACCAACUUUUUUUAUUUCUCCUUUAUCUUAAUGUUGAUAUUCACUACCUACUAAAGUACCUUUAUUAUUACCAUUAGUUUGCACUUUCUAUUAGUAUAUGUGUAUCUGAAUUCUGAAUAACUUCGGAGAAAUUUUUCAAAGAAUAACGUAAGUUGUUCAAGAGAUUUGUAUGGUCUCUAGAUUACCUACAAUGUUGAUAUUUUUAUAUUAUAAGUUUUUAUUUGAAAUUGAACUCCUGAUCACGCAAUUUUAGGUAUGAGUUUUAAGUGUGUUUAUCACUUUAACUAAUAAAAAAAAUGUCCAGGGCUUCUUUAACUUUGGGGAGUUCUUCUCAAGCUAUGUCCGCUUACGAAGUUGGGGAGCUUGGCCAAUCUCUCCAUCGCCCUAACCUUUGAAAGAGGAUACUCUUUUUUGGCACUAAGAUAUCUUUCGCCCGAUUCGACAUCGGAAGAAGCCCCAUUAACGUAAAAAUAUGGUAGCUUUUAAAGGAAAAUAUGUUGAAAAUGUUUAUUGUUCCCCCUCCUUCAUCUUUAUAAGCAAUAAAGGAUUUUACCAUCUACUAGAAUUUGAUUAUGACUUACUGAUAUUGGUAAAGAAAACAGAGAUAGUACUUGUCUCUAAAAAUGUCAAUAUUUCCUUUAUGAAAGUGGUGGCAAACAAGACUCGAGAGUAACUUAAGUCCUUGGAAAAUUUGUCCCUUCAUCAAAAGCUAUACAAAAAUAAAAGCCACAUAGAGAGGUGCACCAUGUUCUAAGUAAACCCAACUUUGGUUAUUAUAGUUAAAAAAUAAUAAUUUCUCAAUCACUAAAAAAUAAAAUUAUCCAUCAAGGCCUUGGUCUUAUGAAGUUGCAACCAAUAAUUUUUUUUUUUCUUUCUUUCUUUUCUAGCCAUAGAGAAAGAUGACAUUGAUUGCAGGCAUUCCUUCAAGCUAUCUAUGGGGUUCACUUGAACGGUCCAAUUUUCUACCGAUAAGGCAUUCCUUCAAUUAUUAAUUGUGUUAAUGAAACAUAAAUGUUGAUUGAAAGCAAAAAAGGAAACCUAAUAUUAUUAAAAUGAUCAAGAAUGGUGACACACAUGGUUAUUGAGAAGACUUAAAUGUAAUCCAUUAGAUUAAGAUAAAAUUAAAGGUGGAGAUAUGGAGUAACUCCUUAGAGUUACUCUUGGAGUCAAUAUAUCCUUCCCAUAUAUAUAUAUGGAAUACAAGCUUUUUGUGUUACUUUUAUCUUUUGUAUAACUAUUUAAUUUACAACUUAAUCAUUCUUUAUUUAAUCAAAUAAGCAAAUUUUCGAUAUCUAUACCUUUAUGUAAAAAAUACUAAAUUUAAUUUGGUGUAACAUUUUUCUUUAUUUUGUUAAACCAUUUUCUCCCUCCUUUCUAUUUUAUUCUUCAAACUUCUAUUAUUUUUAUCGAUAAAAACGGAAAGGUGUAGUUGAUCACCUCAAGUUGGGAUUAUCCAAAAAAAAAAUUGCUGUAGUUUUUUUAUACAAAGAAAAACAAUUGCUGUAGUUGAUAUACUUCAAGUUGGGAUUAUCCAAUUUUUCAUAAACAAAGAAUGUAGGUACUAGGUAAGAGUUUUAAACUAGAACUAGAAUAUAAAAUUAAAUUAAGGAAUGUUUUUAAUCCAAUUUUUCAUAAACAAAGAAUGUAGGUACUAGGUAAGAGUUUUAAACUAGAACUAGAAUAUAAAUUAAAUUAAGGAAUGUUUUUAAUAAUUUGAUUUGUAAAUAGUAAAUAGGGUACUACAGCUAAAGUAUAGGUAAUGUUGUUAACAACUGAUCAUUAUCCUUAUCUCAGUAAAAAAAAAAACUCAUCAUCCUUAUCAUCAUCUUCAAUUGUGUCUUUGUUCCUCUAUAAAUAUAAGUGAAAAUGAUUGCUCAAAAUAUAUUAGCAACAAUGUCUUUCUCACAUAUGUUUACUGCUUUUCUUUUCUCUUUGAUUGUGUGUUUGGUCAUUUCUGAAUGUCACGCUGAUGUUAAUGCUAAUGCUAGCCAUAUAUCAAAAUUAGUGAUUGAUGCACGUACUAGAAGGCCUAUUCCAGACACAUUCUUUGGAGCAUUUUUUGAGGUAAAUUAUAAUAUAUGUUUUGAUUACUGUAAAGAUUACUUAAUUAGUUAUUUGGUUAGUGACAUGACAACUUAUUAUUUAUUGAUUCAAUUAAUACAUAUUUUUUCCAGGAAAUUAAUCAUGCAGGAGCUGGGGGAUUGUGGGCAGAACUUGUGGAUAAUAGAGGUAUAUAUUGAUUGUCACUUAUUAAAAAAAAUCUUCAGUAAUUAACUCACCAACACUAAUUUUGGUGACCGAAUUAGAGAUAUGUUUCUUACAUUUCCUUUGUAAAUUAGUUUAUCUCACUAAUUUUGUGCCACUUUUUAUGUAUGAGAUAUUACCUGCUUUGAGUCUUUUUCUCCUUUACUCAAAAAGUCUCUUAGAUGGGUUGAGGUCUAACCAAGGACAAAUUCGUGAUUUAAUUAUUUUUAUUAUUCUAAAUUAAUGUUUCAGGUUUUGAAGCAGGGGGUUCCAAUGUUUCAUCAAAUAUCAAUCCAUGGAUAAUUAUUGGAGAUAAUUCAUCAUCGAUUAUCGUAUCAACUGAUCGUUCAUCUUGUUUUGAGUGUAAUAAGGUUGCUUUACGUUCAGAUGUUCUUUGUCAAGGACAAUCAUGUCCACUUGGUGGUGUUGGUAUCUCCAAUCCUGGAUUUUGGGGCAUGGUGAGUAUUAAUAUUCUAACAUUUUGUUUUGUAUAUGACAAAAAAAUUAAUGUCAUUUAUAACUAAUGUUUCUAAUAUUUUUACAAACAGAACAUUGAGCAAGGGAAAAAGUAUAAAGUGGUGUUCUAUGUUAGAUCACUUGGUCCUAUUAAUUUACAAGUUUCAUUUAUCGGAUCUGAUGAUGGAGUAAAAUUGGCUUCAACAAACAUAAGGUGAUAAUUUCAUCAUUAAUUAAUUUUUAAGCUACAUUGUAUAUUUUUAAUUUUUCAUCAAAUAAAUUGAGUUAUUGUAACUAAAAUUAACUAAUUGAGUUAUUAAUUAAUCGAUGUCAGUGCUUUUGGAGUUAAUGUUACAAAGUGGAGUAGGAUGGAGACAAUUCUUGAAGCUAAUGGUACAAAUCAUAAUUCAAGUCUACAAAUAACAACAAGCAAUAGAGGGGUAGUAUGGUUAGAUCAAGUGUCAGCUAUGCCCUUGGAUACAUAUAAGGUAUGAUAUUUUUCUUUUUCUUUUUUCUAUGUUUUAUUUUGACAAAUUGGCAAUGCAAUUAUUUUAUUUUAAUUUUUUUAGGAAAAUUCUUUUAAAUGGACUAACUUCAUUAAUCAAUAUAUCUUGGCAUAGGGUCAUGGUUUUCGAAGCGAUCUUUAUCAAAUGGCGGCGGAUCUCAAGCCAAAAACUUUUAGAUUCCCAGGUAGGGUACAAUAAUAAGUUAAAAUUGUUAAGGUUGAUUUGAAUGAUAUCUCCUAUUCUAGCACUCUCUUUUUUAACAUUUAUUCAUUUAUAGAAUAGAGUAAAAGUUAUAUGAGACUCACCAUUUUAUAUAGGGUCUAUUUUCAAUAUGGUAGGAUCUACAUAAUUUUUACUCAAUAAAAAGAUAUUUGUUAAAAAAUGUAUGUUCGGCAAUAUUGCCAAAAAAGCAUUGUUUCUUAGGCAAUAAUAAAUUUAAAAUAAUUAUAUUUUUACUAUUCAAUACUUAGUUCACAUGUUUUCAAAAAAAUGUUGAGUUCAUAUGUUAAAUUAAGAGUCGGAAAACAUAACACACAAAAAUCACUCAUAAGUUUUGUUAAUUUCUUUUACAAUCUCAUGCAAAAAUUCAUGCAUUUUUAUUAUAGGUGGGGAAGUUUGAUAUCCAUCUAUAUUAUAAAAUAAAAAAAUAAAAAAUUAUGUAAACCUAACACAAUUUUUUUUGUUUUGUUAUAGGUGGUUGUUAUGUAGAAGGAGAUUAUCUGAGAAAUGCAUUUAGAUGGAAAGAUACAGUUGGACCAUGGGAAGAGAGACCUGGCCACUUUAAUGACAUAUGGAAUUAUUGGACUGAUGAUGGAUUUGGUUAUUUUGAGGGGCUUCAAGUAAUUUUAUUUCCUUUCUAAAAUAUUAAUCCUUUCCUUAUCAAAAUGAAAAAUCUAAGUCUUAUUGUUUAUUGAAACAGCUAUCAGAGGAUCUUGGUGCAUUCCCAGUGUGGGUGUUUAACAGUGGUAUUGUUCUUCCUAAAAAAUCCAUUAUAAAGUCUAGUCCCUAAGUUAUUUAUUUUUCUUUCUUUUUAAUUGCUAAUUUAUCUAUUGUCUCUUAUAGGUAUUAGCCAUCAUGAUGAAGUUAAUACGUCUGAUAUUUCACCAUUUGUGCAAGUAUACUUUUCUUCACAGUAUUUUUCAUUUUUUUAUAGAAAUUAUUUUUUAUUCUUCAGCAGUAUUUUUAAUUUUAUUUAUUUAUUUAUUAUUAUUUAUAUUUACACUUUGGAUCAUUAAUUAAUAGGAAGCCCUAGAUGGUAUUGAGUUUGCUAGAGGUUCUUCCACAUCACAAUGGGGUUCUCUUAGAGCUUCCAUGGGACAUCCUGAGCCAUUUGAUUUGAGAUUUGUUGCCAUUGGAAAUGAAGACUGUCAUAAAUAUAACUAUCUAGGUAUAACUUUUUUAAGUUAAUUUGGAAGACAAAUUGAAUUUUUUUUUAUGUAUAUUUAAUCAAAAAAUAUUUGAUAAGUGAGGUGGUUGAGCAAUUAAUACACUUUAGUUUACUAAUUUGUAUUUUUUUUUUUAUUGAAUAGGAAACUACCUAAAGUUCUAUGAAGCUAUAAAACAUGAUUAUCCUGAUAUUCAAAUUAUCUCAAAUUGUGACGGUUCUAUACAUCAAUUAGAUCACCCAGCAGAUCUCUAUGAUUUUNAUGUAAUAGUCUUUCUUUUUUUUUGUUCUUCCAAUUUUUAAAGUUAUUAAUUUUGUAUUUCAGUUUAAGCCACUUACAUUUUA
rnacentral:lncRNA from 1 species